rnacentral:misc_RNA from 1 species
GAUGAAGAACGUAGCGAAAUGCGAUAAGUAAUGUGAAUUGCAGAAUUCAGUGAACCAUCGAAUCUUUGAACGCACAUUGCGCCCGGCAGUAAUCUGCCGGGCAUGCCUGUCCGAGCGUCAUUUCUGCCCUCGAGCGAGUCCAGCAUCUAGGUGCUGGGCCCGCCCGGCGUUGGGGCACUACGGGAAGCCCUGUGCUGUCCCCCGUAGGCCCCGAAAUGAAGUGGCGGUCCUGCCGCGGCGCCCCCUGCGUAGUAUAACAGCUCGCUUCGGGACCCGGUGGAGGCCUGCCGUCAAACCUUACUCUCUAAGUUUGACCUCGGAUCAGGUAGGGUUACCCGCUGAACUUAAGCAUAUCAAUAAGCGGACGA